CCUGUCCGAGCGUCAUAAACAAAUUCAAGUUUGUCUUGGUAUUGGGCCUUGCUGGUAAUGGCUUGCCUUAAAUUCAGUGGCGGUAUUGACAGGCUUCGAGCGAAGUAAUGCUCUCGUUUUAGACCCUGGCAAAUGGCGACCAGCAAUCCUAACUUCUCAAAGUUGACCUCGGAUCAGGUAGGAAUACCCGCUGAACUUAA
rnacentral:misc_RNA from 1 species